rnacentral:rRNA from 1 species
AGAGUUUGAUCCUGGCUCAGGAUGAACGCUAGCGGCAGGCUUAACACAUGCAAGUCGAGGGGUAGAAGUUUUCGGACUUUGAGACCGGCGCACGGGUGCGUAACGCGUAUGCAAUCUACCUUUUACAGAGGGAUAGCCCAGAGAAAUUUGGAUUAAUACCUCAUAGUAUUAUUGAAUGGCAUCAUUUAAUAAUUAAAGUUCCAACGGUAAAAGAUGAGCAUGCGUCCCAUUAGCUAGUUGGUGUGGUAACGGCACACCAAGGCAAUGAUGGGUAGGGGUCCUGAGAGGGAGAUCCCCCACACUGGUACUGAGACACGGACCAGACUCCUACGGGAGGCAGCAGUGAGGAAUAUUGGACAAUGGGCGCAAGCCCGAUCCAGCCAUGCCGCGUGCAGGAUGACGGUCCUAUGGAUUGUAAACUGCUUUUAUACGGGAAGAAACCCUGGCUCGUGAGCCAGAUUGACGGUACCGUAGGAAUAAGGAUCGGCUAACUCCGUGCCAGCAGCCGCGGUAAU